rnacentral:pre_miRNA from 8 species
AAAUUUUCCUGUUUAUUACCAGAUCCUAGAACCCUAUCGAUAUUGUCUCUGCUGUGUAAAUAGCUCUGAGUAGUGCAAUAUUGCUUAUAGGGUUUUGGUGUUUGGGAAGAACAAUGGGCAUGUUG